AUUGAACGCUGGCGGAAUGCUUUACACAUGCAAGUCGAACGGUAGAGGGGGCAACCCCUCGAGAGUGGCGAACGGGUGAGUAAUAUAUCGGAACGUGCCCAGUCGUGGGGGAUAACGUAGCGAAAGUUACGCUAAUACCGCCUACGAACUAAGGAUGAAAGCGGGGGAUCGCAAGACCUCGCGCGAUUGCAGCGGCCGAUAUCAGUUUAGGUAGUUGGUGGGGUAAAGGCCCACCAAGCCAACGAUCUGUAGCUGGUCUGCGAGGACGACCAGCUACACUGGAAGUGAGACACGGUCCAGACUCCUACGGGAGGCAGCAGUGGGGAAUUUUGGACAAUGGACGCAAGUCUGCUCCAGCCAUUCCGCGUGCAGGAUGAAGGCCCUCGGGUUGUAAACUGCUUUUGUACGGAACGAAAAGGUCUCUCUUAAUACGGGGGGCUCAUGACGGUACCGUAAGAAUAAGCACCGGCUAACUACGUGCCAGCAGCCGCGGUAA
rnacentral:rRNA from 1 species